GACAGAGGGUGCAACCGUUGUUCGGAAUUACUGGGCGUAAAGCGCGUGUAGGCGGCCCUGCAAGUCGGAUGUGAAAUCCCACGGCUCAACCGUGGAAGUGCAUUCGAAACUGCAGGGCUAGAGUCCUGGAGAGGAAGGUGGAAUGCUUGGUGUAGAGGUGAAAUUCGUAGAUAUCAAGCGGAACACCGGUGGCGAAGGCGGUUCUCUGGGCCUUACCUGACGCUGAGGAGCGAAAGCGUGGGGAGCGAACAGG
rnacentral:rRNA from 1 species